CCGACUUUAGCUCAGUUGGAAGAGCAUCAGACUGUAAUUGGUUACGUAAUCACGGCAUCUGGUGGUCGCCUGUUCGAACCAGGCAAGUCGGA